rnacentral:rRNA from 1 species
GAGUUUGAUCCUGGCUCAGGACGAACGCUGGCGGCGCGCCUAACACAUGCAAGUCGAACGGAGCUUAAAGAGCUUGCUUUUUAAGCUUAGUGGCGAACGGGUGAGUAACGCGUGAGUAACCUGCCCUAGAGUGGGGGACAACAGUUGGAAACGACUGCUAAUACCGCAUAAGCCCACGGUGCUGCAUGACACUGAGGGAAAAGGAUUUAUUCGCUUUAGGAUGGACUCGCGUCCAAUUAGCUAGUUGGUGAGGUAAUGGCUCACCAAGGCGACGAUCGGUAGCCGGACUGAGAGGUUGAACGGCCACAUUGGGACUGAGACACGGCCCAGACUCCUACGGGAGGCAGCAGUGGGGAAUAUUGCACAAUGGGGGAAACCCUGAUGCAGCGACGCCGCGUGGAGGAAGAAGGUCUUCGGAUUGUAAACUCCUGUUGUUGAGGAAGAUAAUGACGGUACUCAACAAGGAAGUGACGGCUAACUACGUGCCAGCCGCCGCGGUAAUAC